rnacentral:lncRNA from 1 species
AGAGUUCGUAUAUGACUCCAGUCCUGGCGCUGGAUGCUGCUGCUGUUCCAGCUUCCUAGGUGUGGAAACUGAAGGACCAAGAGAUUAAACAGGAAUCUCUGAGGACAAAUGGGAAUUCUCACUGAUUUCUAGGACUACCCUGGGGCAGGCACCCUGCACAGCAAUACACACUGAACAAUGUCGAGUUUCUGCUGAAUAGACUUCCUACGUUGCUCUGGAAUUCGAAGUUGGCCUAACUGAGGUCUCCAGUUACAGAAAACACUGGCUCUGUAUCCUGGGCUUUGAGAAAACUUAUCAGGCUGUCACACUUACCAUCCCUUCAGUCUGCUUGUCAGGUUCCUUAAGGACGCAUAUCUCAAAUGUAUGGCAUCUACCUCUACCUGGGUCACAACCAAGUGGGUUUCUACUAGAUCGGUGUUCCUUGACAGCCAACAAGGGAGCUGACACUGCCCUCCUAAGUUCUGAUCUUGCUCCUGUUCAACUGGAACUUGAUGGAUCCCAUGUGGUUUCCCCCAUCCUGACGCUGUGGCUCAGACACUCUCCCUAAGCUGGUCCUUCCCUCCAAAUCCUGCCUUAAACACACUCAGAAGGUAGAAAACACUUCAGCAGCAAAGUCCUCUUCCCAAGCCAACAGUUGUGUUCUUCCAAUCACAUGAUCUUACCUUUUCAAUAAAAGGCAAAACAAACCAAUUUCCAACAUAGCA